CUUCUGUUCAAGGGAUUGGGAGGCAGUCAGAGAAGAAGCUAUAGUCCUCAUCGUCGUAGCCAGAUUCAAACACGUGCAAGAAAGAGGUGGCAACAAUGGAGGAGAUACAGAUGAAUAAUGAAGGAACUAAGGUAACAUUCAAGAGCCUAGACACACCCAAGUAGCCACACUGUUAUAGUUCCAUCUGCAAUCACUCAAGCUAGGGUUCCUGCUUCUGUUGAAAGAAGCCCUCCAUUGUAAGUUCCACGAGAAAGCCUAGACGACAUUACACGCGACAAGAGCGACAAGUUCACACCUUCAAGCACUUCUGCAAUAAAUUUAAAUAGCAUGUUCCGACAAUUAUGUUUACUGGAAGCACAGUUAGCCCAAGACAUGCAAGAAAGAUGGCCACGCUAUUGGUUGACCAUAUAAAAUGGAUCAAAUCCAAAAUCUGAUAGCUUUUCCCAGACAGUGAAUGAAGAGAAGGCAAGAUUGAGAUCGUAUAUAGGUUCAAGGCUGCCAAGGUGUGAGAGGAGAUGUAACUCAUGCA